GGGGGGGGCGGUCCGCCCUGGGUGCCAACAGGCAGGGGGGUGCCACCAGGGCUGGCCAGGCUUGGGAGUCAGUGAGCUGUGUGGCUGCACUGGUUGCCAUAGCAGCAGGGGCGCCGGGCAGCCGACACAGCUCACACGCAGGGGCUGGGAAUACAGCAGGAAACCUGCACGGAGAUUCGGGGGCGGGGCCCGAUCAGCCGUGGGGGCGGAGCCAAUCCGGACGUGGGGGCGGAGCUAUAUGCAGCCUCCUACUGCUGCACACAGAGGGGAAGCAGGAAGGAGUCCCUGCUUCCCCAACUACAGCACAGCAGGGACUGAAUCCGCUCCUCCUCCAGCCCAAGCUUACUGUAAGGGAGAGAGUGUGUGCUGUGUGUAACUGUGAUUGUGACUGUCUGUGACUGUGUGUGUGACUCUCUGACUGUGUGUGUGUGUGUGUGUGUGACUGUCUGUGAUUGUGUUAUGUGUAUGUAUGACUGUGUGUGUGUGUGUGACUGCCUGUGAUUGUCUGUGUUACUCUGUGUGUGUGUGUGUCACUGUGUGUGACUGUCUGCCUGUGAUUGUGGGUGUGUGUGUGUGACUGCCUGUGAUUGUGUGUGUGACUGUCUGUGAUUGUAUUAUGUGUAUGUAUGACUGUCUGUGUGUGUGUGUGUCACUGUGUGUGACUGUCUGCCUGUGAUUGUCUGUGUUACUCUGUGUGUGUGUGUGUCACUGUGUGUGACUGUCUGCCUGUGAUUGUGGGUGUGUGUGACUGUCUGCCUGUGAUUGUGUGUGUGACUGUCUGUGACUGUGUUGUGUGUAUGUGUGACUGUCUGUGAUUGUGUGUGUGACUGUCUGCCUGUGUGAUUGCCUGCGUAUUUGACUGUCUGCCUGUAACUGUGUGUGAGUGACUGUGUGG